GCGGUUCGUGGCGGUGCUGCACGCGCCUACGGAUCAGAAGGUUGCAGGUUCGAAUCCUGCCGAGUGCA
rnacentral:tRNA from 1 species